GAUAAGAACGUAGCGAAAUGCGAUAAGUAAUGUGAAUUGCAGAAUUCAGUGAAUCAUCGAAUCUUUGAACGCACAUUGCGCCCCCUGGUAUUCCGGGGGGCAUGCCUGUCCGAGCGUCAUUACAACCCUCAAGCUCAGCUUGGUAUUGGGCCCCGCCGCUCCGGCGGGCCCUAAAGUCAGUGGCGGUGCCGUCCGGCUCCGAGCGUAGUAAUUCUUCUCGCUCUGGAGGUCCGGUCGUGUGCUCGCCAGCAACCCCCAAUUUUUUUCAGGUUGACCUCGGAUCAGGUAGGGAUACCCGCUGAACUUAAGCAUAUCAAUAAGCGGAGGA
rnacentral:misc_RNA from 1 species